rnacentral:rRNA from 1 species
AUUGAACGCUGGCGGCAUGCUUUACACAUGCAAGUCGAACGGUAACAGGUUAAGCUGACGAGUGGCGAACGGGUGAGUAAUGCAUCGGAACGUGCCCGGUCGUGGGGGAUAACACUUCGAAAGAAGUGCUAAUACCGCAUACGAUCUGAGGAUGAAUGCGGGGGACCGUAAGGCCUCGCGCGAUCGGAGCGGCCGAUGUCAGAUUAGGUAGUUGGUGGGGUAAAGGCUCACCAAGCCGACGAUCUGUAGCUGGUCUGAGAGGACGACCAGCCACACUGGGACUGAGACACGGCCCAGACUCCUACGGGAGUCAGCAGUGGGGAAUUUUGGACAAUGGGCGCAAGCCUGAUCCAGCAAUGCCGCGUGCAGGAAGAAGGCCUUCGGGUUGUAAACUGCUUUUGUACGGAGCGAAAAGGCUCUCUCUAAUACAGGGGGCUCAUGACGGUACCGUAAGAAUAAGCACCGGCUAACUACGUGCCAGCAGCCGCGGUAA